UAACAGCUGAAAGGAGGUGAUCCAGUGAUUAGAGAACCAUUGGAGAAGGGUGUAGGAACAGUGCGAGAGGUCAAGCUCUAGGGUAACUCCGGGCGACAGCCUAACAAACUGGCGAGCAGCCUAACCGGCCCCCGCCUCCGUAUUCUCGAAGGGUCGUCCCACGGGCGGCCCU
rnacentral:sRNA from 1 species